rnacentral:rRNA from 1 species
GUGGCAGCCGCCGCGGUAAUACGUAGGGUGCGAGCGUUAAUCGGAAUUACUGGGCGUAAAGCGUGCGCAGGCGGUUUUUCAAGUCUGAUGUGAAAUCCCCGGGCUUAACCUGGGAACUGCGUUGGAAACUGAAAGACUAGAGUGCGGCAGAGGGGGGUAGAAUUCCACGUGUAGCAGUGAAAUGCGUAGAUAUGUGGAGGAAUACCGAUGGCGAAGGCAGCCCCCUGGGUCGACACUGACGCUCAUGCACGAAAGCGUGGGUAGCAAACAGGAUUAGAUACCCCUGUAGUC